UGGGGAAUAUUGCACAAUGGGGGAAACCCUGAUGCAGCGACGCCGCGUGAACGAAGAAGGUAUUCGUAUCGUAAAGUUCUGUCCUAUGGGAAGAUAAUGACAGUACCAUAGAAGAAAGCUCCGGCUAAAUACGUGCCAGCAGCCGCGGUAAUACGUAUGGAGCGAGCGUUGUCCGGAAUUAUUGGGCGUAAAGGGUACGCAGGCGGUUUAAUAAGUCGAAUGUUAAAGAUCGGGGCUCAACCCCGUAAAGCAUUGGAAACUGAUAAACUUGAGUAGUGGAGAGGAAAGUGGAAUUCCUAGUGUAGUGGUGAAAUACGUAGAGAUUAGGAGGAAUACCAGUAGCGAAGGCGACGUUCUGGACACAAACUGACGCUGAGGUACGAAAGCGUGGGGAGCAAACAGG
rnacentral:rRNA from 1 species